rnacentral:rRNA from 1 species
CCCCUAGAUGUCCGGGGCCGCACGCGCGCUACACUGAACGGAUCAGCGCGUUUUCCCUUCCCGAGGGGGACGGGUAACCUGCUGAACCCCGUUCGUGGUAGGGAUCGGGGCUUGCAAUUAUUCCCCGUGAACCAGGAAUGCCCAGUAAGUGCAAGUCAUAAGCUUGCGUUGAUUACGUCCCUGCCCUUUGUACACACCGCCCGUCGCUACUACCGAUUGAACGUUUUAGUGAGGUACUCGGACUGAGCCUCAGAAGAUUCACGUCUUUUGUGCUGCUCGGGAAGAUUCCCAAACUUGAGCGUUUAGAGGAAGUAAAAGUCGUAACA